CAGUCGUACCGGCGGAUAAUCAGCCUUUCGAGUGCGAUUCUGUGGGGCGUGAGGAGCUUAACCGCCUUCAUGUUUUGCAUAUUCGUGCACAUUAGGUGUACUUGUCCGUGUGGUGGGUUAACAUCAAUUUCAGUCGUCAUAAGAUGACUGGAGGAAUGUAGCUUUUGGUUCGUAUCGAAGUGUUAUAGACUCUGGUAGAUGUGACGAUUGGGGAUUGGAGGUAUUGC
rnacentral:rRNA from 1 species